rnacentral:rRNA from 1 species
GCAAGUCGAACGCAGUAGCAAUACUGAGUGGCAGACGGGUGAGUAACAUCGUUGGAAUCUGCCUUGUGGUUCAGGACAACAUUGGGAAACCGAUGCUAAUACUGGAUAAGCCCUUACGGGGAAAGUUUUAAUGCCAUAAGAUGAGCCCGCAUUUGAUUAGUUAGUUGGUGAGGUAAUGGCUUACCAAGACAAUGAUCAAUAGCUGAUCUGAGAGGAUGAUCAGCCACACUGGGACUGAGACACGGCCCAGACUCCUACGGGAGGCAGCAGUGGGGAAUCUUGCACAAUGGAGGAAACUCUGAUGCAGCGAUGCCGCGUGAGUGAAGAAGGCCUUUGGGUUGUAAAGCUCUUUUGUAGGGGAAGAUAAUGACUGUACCCUAAGAAUAAGGUCCGGCUAACUUCGUGCCAGCAGCCGCGGUAAUACGAAGGGACCUAGCGUAGUUCGGAAUUACUGGGCGUAAAGCGCGCGUAGGCCGUUGAGUUAGUUAAUUGUGAAAUCCCAAAGCUUAACUUUGGAACUGCAAUUAAAACUGCUCGACUAGAGUUUGAUAGAGGAAAGCGGAAUACAUAGUGUAGAGGUGAAAUUCGUAGAUAUUAUGUAGAACACCAGUUGCGAAGGCGGCUUUCUGGAUCAACACUGACGCUGAGGCGCGAAAGUAUGGGUAGCAAAGAGGAUUAGAUACCCUCGUAGUCCAUACCAUAAACGAUGAUUGCUAGAUGUUGGAAAUUUAUUUUCAGUAUCGCAGCUAACGCAUUAAGCAAUCCGCCUGGGGAGUACGACCGCAAGGUUAAAACUCAAAUGAAUUGACGGGGACCCGCACAAGCGGUGGAGCAUGUGGUUUAAUUCGAAGAUACGCGCAGAACCUUACCAACCCUUGACAUGUCUGUCGCGAGUUUAGGAAACUAGACUUUUCGGUUCGGCCGGACAGAACACAGGUGCUGCAUGGCUGUCGUCAGCUCGUGUCGUGAGAUGUUGG